rnacentral:rRNA from 1 species
GAUGAACGCUGGCGGCGUGCUUAACACAUGCAAGUCGAACGGAAAGGCCCUGCUUUUGUGGGGUGCUUGAUUGGCGAACGGGUGAGUAACACGUGUGUAACCCGCCCUUGACUUUGGGAUAACUUCAGGAAACUGGGGCUCAUACCGGAUAGGAGCUUCUGCUGCACGGUGGGGGUUGGAAAGUUACGGCGGUUGGGGCUGGACUCGCGGCUUAUCGGCUUGUUGGUGGGGUAGUGGCUUACCAAGCCUUUGACGGGUAGCCGGCCUGAGAGGGUGACCGGCCACAUUGGGACUGAGAUACGGCCCAGACGGCUACGGGAGGCAGCAGGGGGGAAUAUUGCACAAUGGGCGGAAGCCUGAUGCAGAAGCGCCGCGUGCGGGAUGACGGCUUUCGGGUUGUGAACAUCUUUCGCCUGUGACGAAGCGUGAGUGACGGUAAUGAAUAAAGAAGCACCGGCUAACUACGUG